rnacentral:rRNA from 1 species
CCUACGGGGGGCAGCAGUGGGGAAUAUUGGACAAUGGGCGAAAGCCUGAUCCAGCCAUGCCGCGUGUGUGAAGAAGGCCUUCGGGUUGUAAAGCACUUUCAGUGGGGAAGAAAGCCUUGGGGCUAAUACCCUCGAGGAAGGACAUCACCCACAGAAGAAGCACCGGCUAACUCCGUGCCAGCAGCCGCGGUAAUACGGAGGGUGCGAGCGUUAAUCGGAAUUACUGGGCGUAAAGCGCGCGUAGGCGGUCUGAUAAGCCGGUUGUGAAAGCCCCGGGCUCAACCUGGGAACGGCAGCCGGAACUGUCAGGCUAGAGUGCAGGAGAGGAAGGUAGAAUUCCCGGUGUAGCGGUGAAAUGCGUAGAGAUCGGGAGGAAUACCAGUGGCGAAGGCGGCCUUCUGGACUGACACUGACGCUGAGGUGCGAAAGCGUGGGUAGCAAACAGGAUUAGAUACCCCAGUAGUC